rnacentral:rRNA from 1 species
UACGUAGGGCGCAAGCGUUGUCCGGAAUUAUUGGGCGUAAAGAGCUCGUAGGCGGUCUGUCGCGUCGGCUGUGAAAAUCCCCGAGGCUCAACCUCGGGGUCUGCAGUCGAUACGGGGCAAAACUAGAGUAUUUGCAGGGGGAGACUGGAAAUUCCCUGGUGUAGCGGUGAAAAUGCGCAGAUAUCAGGAGGAACACCGGUGGCGAAAGGCGGGGUCUCUGGGGCAAAUAACUGACGCUGAGGAGCGAAAAGCGUGGGGGAGCGAACAGG